rnacentral:rRNA from 1 species
AUUGAACGCUGGCGGCAGGCCUAACACAUGCAAGUCGAGCGGAACGGCGGACGGGUGAGUAAUGCCUAGGACUCUGCCUGGUAGUGGGGGAUAACGUCCGGACACGGGCGCUAAUACCGCAUACUAUCAGAUGAGCCUAGGUCGGAUUAGCUAGUUGGUGGGGUAAAGGCCUACCAAGGCGACGAUCCGUAACUGGUCUGAGAGGAUGCACAGUCACACUGGAAGUGAGACACGGUCCCGACUCAGACGGGAGGCAGCAGGGGGGAAGAUUGGACAAUGGGCGAAAGCCUGAUCCAGCCAUGCCGCGUGGGUGAAGAAGGUCUUCGGAUUGUAAAGCACUUUAAGUUGGGAGGCGUUACCAACAGAAUAAGCACCGGCUAACUUCGUGCCAGCCGCCGCGGUAAUUC